rnacentral:rRNA from 1 species
GACGAACGCUGGCGGCGUGCCUAAUACAUGCAAGUAGAACGCUGAAGAGAGGAGCUUGCUCUUCUUGGAUGAGUUGCGAACAGGUGAGUAACGCGUAGGUAACCUGCCUUGUAGCGGGGGAUAACUAUUGGAAACGAUAGCUAAUACCGCAUAACAAUGGAUGACACAUGUCAUUUAUUUGAAAGGGGCAAUUGCUCCACUACAAGAUGGACCUGCGUUGUAUUAGCUAGUAGGUGAGGUAAUGGCUCACCUAGGCGACGAUACAUAGCCGACCUGAGAGGGUGAUCGGCCACACUGGGACUGAGACACGGCCCAGACUCCUACGGGAGGCAGCAGUAGGGAAUCUUCGGCAAUGGGGGCAACCCUGACCGAGCAACGCCGCGUGAGUGAAGAAGGUUUUCGGAUCGUAAAGCUCUGUUGUAAGUCAAGAACGGGUGUGAGAGUGGAAAGUUCACACUGUGACGGUAGCUUACCAGAAAGGGACGGCUAACUACGUG